ensembl:lncRNA
AUUCUCCAGGCAAGAACGCUGGAGUGGGUUGCCAUGUCCUUCUCCAAUGCAUGAAAGUGAAAAGUGAAAGUGAAGUUGUUCAGUCGUGUCUGACUCUUAGCGACCCCAGAGACGGCAGCCCACCAGGCUCCUCUGUCCUUGGGGUUUUUCAGGCAAGAUUACUGGAGUGGGGUGCCAUCUCGAAGAUGGGCUUUGAGCAAAGAUCUGAGCAGCAGUGUUCAAGCCAGCCCACACGUAGGAACAAGCCAGCGGUCCACCAGUGAGGAGCGACCGAACGGAGUGUGGUCCAUCCGUCCAGGGAGCAGCUUUGGACAGUAGGAAGGAGAGAGCCUGGAUCAUGGAAACGCGAAGCUACCUGAAAGAAGCCCCUCACAGAAGACCACAUGCUGCGUGAUGGCCUGCGCUUGACGAGUCCCGAGGAAGUGAACCUACAGACAGAUUGCCGGUGGCUCUGGGCUGCAGUACAGGCGUGGGGGAUGGGGGGUGAUUGCCAAUGGUGAUGGGUUUCUUUUAAGGAGAUGAGAGUGUUUUAAAACUGGGUGUGGGGGGCGGUAAGAAAAGAGGGAAAAAAGGGUCGGGGAGGGGGGUAUUGUGGGCGGGAAUUCCCUGAUGGUCCAGUGGUUAGGACUCAGCCCCCUGGGUCUGUCCCUGCUUGGGGAGCUAAGAUCCUGCCAGCUGUGUGGCCUGGCCGAAAAAUAAGCAAAAUAAAGAAAAUUGAUGGUGUUGAUAGUUGCACAAAUCUGUGACUGUGUUAAAAACCACAAAAUCUGUACACCGCAAAUGGAUGAAUGGCAGGAUAUGCGAGUUAUACGUCAAUAAAGCAGUUAAAUCUGGGGGGUAAGUGGAAUGGAAAAAGAAAGAGAAAAAGAAUGAUGUGCCAUUUCUGGCUUUAUUAAAGAAGAUUUGUG